AAACGGUACUUUAUGACGUUACUCAUUUUCUGAUUGUGGGUGAGUAUAAACAUGGUGAAUUCGGUGGACGCUAAGGGAGAAAUCCUAUGCCAAUACCGAGCCAAGCUUAGCUAGGAAUAGCUUUGAAGGUGUAGAGACUAGUACGAGAGGCCAGAACGGUCAAUAAUGUACGUAGGAUACUCAAGUGAGAUCCGAAGCGCCAUGCCCUACUUAGGUAGGUGAAGAUAUAGUCCCAUACUCCGUGGAAAUGCGGAG
rnacentral:ncRNA from 1 species